rnacentral:lncRNA from 1 species
UGGACUGGCAGUUAACACUGGAGGAGGCAGUUAACACGGCGCAUCUGGGCCUCCAGGGCGAGUGGGACUGAGGACUGAGAUGGACGGGCUGGUGGUGGGCAUAGCAGGAGCAAAGACUCGGAGGCCGGACCUGCCUCACGGAAGGCCCCACCCGACGGCGGAUGGGACAGAGCCAUCCCAUGAGCCACUGCCCGCCUGACCAGUCGCCAGGGAGCCCAGGGGACCCACAGUGCCCGGCUGACUCCAUUGUGCUCCUGAGCUUGCGCCUGGCGCACAGCCCGUGCUAACGUACAGUAGAAGGAGCUGCAGAAAUUGCUAGCAAGGGAGGGAGAGGGCCACCGCCGUGCACAUGCCUUCAGAGCCUGGGAAGGCCGAUCUGGGGCUGGAGCCCUGCCAGGGGCCGGCAGCCAGACCCCCCGGGUCUGGUCUGGUGUCCUUGCUGCCAGUGCUGGAGGCUGGAAGUCCACGGUCAACACACCUGGAGAGCUCUCUUCCUGGUUCACGGACGGCACCUUCUGGCUGCGUCCUCACAUGGUGGAAGGGGCGAGGGGGCUCUCUGGGGUCUGUUUCAUUAGGGCGCUGAUCCCAUUCAUGGGGCCUCCACCCUCAUGACCUCAUCACCUCCCAAAGGUCCCGCCAACAAAUACCGUGUGUCUGAGGGUUAGGAUUUCAACACACGAGCUUUGUGGGGGCACAACACUCAGACCACCCAGGAUGUGUAUGCAGGUGGCAUAGCAGGGGCUGGAGGGUGGUCUGUCCAGUCCUACCGUGCAGCCGUCACCCACCUACCCAGCACGAGGCCCGCAGAGUGGGACCCUGCACCCGGACACACCCCCCGCGGCGGUGGGGGAGACCGCCCGGGCACAACAGAGCUCAAGAAUGACCCUAAGCGUGUGAAGAUAGACCUGCCCUACCCAGGACGGUCGCCACGAACUGCAUGUGGCUAUCGGGUGCUUGAAAUGUGCUGGUCCAAAUUGAGAUCUCCCAGGUAUGGACCCCAAAGAAUCGAAAACAGGUGUUCAGAUAAAUUCUCGUGCACGCAUGUACAUAGCAGCAUUAUUCACAAGAGCCCAAAGGUAGAAACAUCCCAGAUGCCCAUCAACAGAUGAACAGAUGAAGAAAACGUGGUGUACAUAUGCAGCGAAAUACGCUCCAGCCAUAAAAGGGAAGGAAGCCCGGAUACAGGCUGCAGCGUGGACGGACCUUGGAAACAUUAUGCUCAGCAAAGGAAACCAGUCUCAGAAGGCCACACAGUGUGUGACCCCAUUUAUGUGAACUGCCCAGAACGGGCAGAUGCAUCAAGACAGAAGCAGACCAGUGGGCGCCGGGGCUGGAGGAGGGGGACCGGGGAGUGACUGACUCAUGG